UACAGAGGGGGCAAGCGUUAUUCGGAAUUAUUGGGCGUAAAGGGCGCGUAGGCGGCUUGGCAAGUGGAUGGUGAAAUCCCUCGGCUUAACCGAGGAACUGCCGUCCAAUCUGCUUCGCUUGAGACCGGGAGAGGUGAGUGGAAUUCCCAGUGUAGCGGUGAAAUGCGUAGAUAUUGGGAGGAACACCAGUGGCGAAGGCGGCUCACUGGACCGGUACUGACGCUGAUGCGCGAAAGCGUGGGGAGCAAACGGG
rnacentral:rRNA from 1 species